rnacentral:rRNA from 1 species
ACCUGGUUGAUCCUGCCAGUAGUCAUAUGCUUGUCUCAAAGAUUAAGCCAUGCAAGUGUAAGUUCACGUCACGAUUAAGAAUGGUCGAAACCGCGAAUGGCUCAGGAACCGGAUCUAAUCCUCGGGAUCGUACUAACACAUAUCCUCUACGGAGGAAGUCGAUUGGAUAACUGUGGUAAUUCUAGAGCUAAUACAUGCAACUAAAGCCAUGAUCGUCGGGCGGUUGGCAGUAACUGGGUUGUCGGUUAGUGCGUAUCGUCKUCKUCGUCGUCGUCCGCGUCGGCGACGUCCGCUGCUGCAAUCGACUUGCAAUCUACUACUCGUCCGCCGUUCGUAGUAUGUGAUCGCGGCGCAACAUAUUAGACUGAGACCGAUGCGUUUUGCAGUUCGUUCGAAGUCGUGGUCGUGCGCGUCUGUGCCACAGCUGCGCGUGCUUGCAGAACACGGAGCCCGUUGAAGGGGCGCCUCGCGCGCGCUUUCAAUCCCCCGUUUCUGUGUCGGGCACUGUUGUCGCGGGCGUGCAGUCGUCUUCGUCGUCGUCGUCGUUUCUGCGCCCGCUCGCUUUUUGGUGACUCUGGAUAACACAAUUGUCGAUCGCUAUGGGAUGAUGUUCGUUUGUUCGUAAAUUACCCGGCGACGGAUCCUCCGUGGGUCCGCCCUAUCAACUGUCGACGGUCGGAUAAUUGCCUACCGUGGUUGCCACGGGUAACGGGGAAUCAGGGUUCGAUUCCGGAGAGGGAGCAUGCGAAACGGCUACCACAUCCAAGGAAGGCAGCAGGCGCGCAAAUUACCCACUCCCGGCACGGGGAGGUAGUGACGAAAAAUAACGACGCGGGACUCUGUCGAGGCCCCGCGAUCGGAAUGAAUACACCUCAAAUCCGUUAAUGAGGAUCAACCGGAGGGCAAGUCUGGUGCCAGCAGCCGCGGUAAUUCCAGCUCCGGUAGCGUAUAUUAAAUUUGUUGCGGUUAAAAAGCUCGUAGUCCGAAUUCGGGUCUAAAAAAAAGAACGUUUGCAAAAGCGUUCGGGGUGUCGGCGCGCCAUCGUUCGUCAUUCGGACUUUGGUUGAUAUUUUCUUUGUGUUUUCCGUUCGCACACCCGGCCCUAUCCGCCGGUACGUACGAGGGAAGGUAAAUUACCUUCGAGACAGGUAAUUAGUGUGGUUCGGUUGGUUUUGGUUUUUUGUUGCGGUUUCUGUAUUCGGUGGCCUGUGUGGCGUGUUUGUGUGUCGUCGUCGUCGUCGAUUUUGGGUGUCUUGGUGCGUGCACGGCGACGCUCCUCUGUUUUGCGUGUUGCGUUUCGUUCUUCGAUGCGCGAGCGUGCAAUCUACGAUGUCGUCUCCGCGUUCUGUCUUGUGUCCGUUGGUCUCGUCGUCGUCGUCACCUGCGCUCACGGUGUCGUCGGCUGCGUUCCGUUGCCCGAUCAAUAUUCUUCCCGUCCACCGUAACCUGUCGAAAAGGAUUUACUAAAUGAGUUCGCGUUCGUGUCCCUUGUGCGAUUCCUCCGAGGGUGCUCUUCACCGAGUGUCCGAGGCGGCCGGUAUGUUCACUUUGAAAAAAUUAGUGUGCUCAGAGCGAGCUCCGUUAAGCUUGCAUACGAUAAGCAUGGAAUGAUAGAAAAGGGCCUCGUCCACGUGUCUGUCGGUCUCCGUUUACGACGAGGCAAUGAUCGAAGGGAGCGAUUCGGGGCCACUCGUAUUGCGACGUUAGAGGUGAAAUUCUUGGAUCGUCGCAAGACGUACUGCAGCGAUGGCGUGUGGCAAGGACGUUUUCCUCGAUCAAGAGCGAAAGUCGGAGGUUCGAAGACGAUCAGAUACCGUCGUAGUUCCGACUGUAAACGAUGCCGACUGGUGAUCCGCCGGCGUUCGCUUCGAUGACCCGGCGGGUAUCCUGCGGGAAACCAGAGUUGGUUCCGGGGGGAGUAUGGUUGCAAAAUCGAAACUUAAAGGAAUUGACGGAAGGGCACCACCAGGAGUGGAGCCUGCGGCUUAAUUUGACUCAACACGGGAAAACUCACCCGGUCCGGACACCGGUAGGAUUGACAGAUCGAUAGCUCUUUCUCGAUUCGAUGGAUGGUGGUGCAUGGCCGUUCUUAGUUGGUGGAGCGAUCCGUCUGGUUGAUUCCGAUAACGAACGAGACUCCAGCCUGCUAACUAGCGCGUCGAUUAGUGCUAGUUGCGAGCCGCGUGCGCGCUUUGUGUAUUGAUCGCAACAGCGCGUGCGCGCUCGUAUUGGCCAGUCGGUUUGCUGGCGCUUCUUAGAGGGACGGGUGGCGGAAAGCCACACGAGGCGGAGCGAUAACAGGUCUGUGAUGCCCUUAGAUGUCCGGGGCUGCACGCGCGCUACACUGGAGGUAUCAGCGGGGACUCCUCCCUGGCCCGAGAGGGUUGGGAAACCUCUGAACCACCUUCCGUGAUAGGGAUCGGGGCUUGUAAGCAACCCCGUGAACGAGGAAUUCCCGGUAGGCGCGGGUCAUCAGCCCGCGUCGAUCACGUCCCUGCCCUUUGUACACACCGCCCGUCGCUACUACCGAUCGAACGGUCCGGUGAGGUCCUCGGAUCUGGCCGACGACGGUAACAUUGUCUGCGUUUCGUAGGUGGCUGGCACGCUUCCACGCGCGCACGUCGUCCACUUGGCGUCGGCGUUGUCGUUUGAUGGCCCGGAGAAGACGACCGAACCCGAUCGUUUAGAGGAAGUAAAAGUCGUAACAAGGUUUCCGUAGGUGAACCUGCGGAAGGAUCAUUA